rnacentral:rRNA from 1 species
UACGGGGGGGGCAAGCGUUGUUCGGAAUUACUGGGCGUAAAGGGCUCGUAGGUGGCCAACUAAGUCAGACGUGAAAUCCCUCAGCUUAACUGGGGAACUGCGUCCGAUACUGGAUGGCUUGAGUUCGGGAGAGGGAUGCGGAAUUCCAGGUGUAGCGGUGAAAUGCGUAGAUAUCUGGAGGAACACCGGUGGCGAAGGCGGCAUCCUGGACCGACACUGACACUGAGGAGCGAAAGCCAGGGGAGCAAACGGG